UUUCUUUUUUUAAUUUUUUAAUUUUUUUUACAGAAAAAAAAAAUUAAAAAAAAAGUGGCAAUAU
rnacentral:ribozyme from 1 species